UAAAGGAUUGAACUGCUAAGCACAUUUGUAAACAGCACAGGGGAGAGAUUGUUGCUGUUCUAAUUUAACAGACAGUUUACUGAAUCUGAAUUGAAUAUCAAAAUGUUAGCAAUUCAGAAGGAUCCUCAGUCAGCUAUGAUUCCUAAGUAUUCCAUGAUGGGGCCAUUUAAAGGACACAUGAGCUCUAAAAGCAGCCAUCUGCCCCUAUAGGACGUAAACGAGCGGAAGCUUUACGGCCAGACCAGGAGAUGAAAGAAGACCACCCACAAACAGAAUAAAAUACAACAAGACAAGAAAAGAAAUCUAGCAGUAGCGGGGAAAACCUUGGGCAGACCUCGAAAGUACAUUUUUAAGCUCCGAAGUUGAGGGAACUGGAGAGUGUAGGUCGGAGUCUCGAGCCAUGCAGCACCUUUAUUUUGUAGUUCUGUUAACAGUGUUUUAUUUUCAAUUUUUCUUUGUGCCUUCUGUUUUGAUUAUUGUUUCGUGCACCUGUGUGUGUACCCAAGGUACUCUGUGAAGCCUGAUACCAUUGCUGGUAACAACAGGACAACAGUGCCACCUUGUGAA